rnacentral:rRNA from 1 species
CGUCCUACGGGAGGCAGCAGUGGGGAAUCUUGCGCAAUGGGCGAAAGCCUGACGCAGCCAUGCCGCGUGAAUGAUGAAGGUCUUAGGAUUGUAAAAUUCUUUCACCGGGGACGAUAAUGACGGUACCCGGAGAAGAAGCCCCGGCUAACUUCGUGCCAGCAGCCGCGGUAAUACGAAGGGGGCUAGCGUUGCUCGGAAUUACUGGGCGUAAAGGGAGCGUAGGCGGACAUUUAAGUCAGGGGUGAAAUCCCGGGGCUCAACCUCGGAAUUGCCUUUGAUACUGGGUGUCUUGAGUAUGAGAGAGGUGUGUGGAACUCCGAGUGUAGAGGUGAAAUUCGUAGAUAUUCGGAAGAACACCAGUGGCGAAGGCGACACACUGGCUCAUUACUGACGCUGAGGCUCGAAAGCGUGGGGAGCAAACAGGAUUAGAUACCCGGGUAGUCCCAUG